UACAGAGGGUGCAAGCGUUGUCCGGAUUUAUUGGGCGUAAAGAGCGUGUAGGCGGCUAGACAGGUCCGCUGUGAAAACUCGAGGCUCAACCUCGAGACGUCGGUGGAAACCGUCUGGCUAGAGUCCGGAAGAGGAGAGUGGAAUUCCCGGUGUAGCGGUGAAAUGCGCAGAUAUCGGGAAGAACACCCGUGGCGAAGGCGGCUCUCUGGGGACGGUACUGACGCUGAGACGCGAAAGCGUGGGGAGCGAACAGG
rnacentral:rRNA from 1 species